GACGAACGCUGGCGGCGUGCCUAAUACAUGCAAGUAGAACGCUGAAGGAGGAGCUUGCUCUUCUGGAUGAGUUGCGAACGGGUGAGUAACACGUAGGUUACCUGCCUUGUAGCUGGGGAUAACUAUUGGAAACGAUAGCUAAUACCGCAUAACAGUAGAUGUUGCAUGACAUUUACUUAAAAGGUGCAAUUGCAUCGCUACCAGAUGGACCUGCGUUGUAUUAGCUAGUUGGUGGGGUAACGGCUCACCAAGGCGACGAUACAUAGCCGACCUGAGAGGGUGGUCGGCCAAACUGGGAGUGAGACAGGGCCCAGACGGCUUCGGGAAGGAGCAGGAGGGGAACGUCGGACAUGGGCGGAAGUCUGACCGCGCAACGCCGCGUGAGUGAAGAAGGUUUUCGGAUCGUAAAGGUCUGUUGUAAGGGAAGAAAGAGUGUGAGAGUGGAAAGUUCACACUGUGACGGUAUCUUACAAAGAAGGAACGGCUAACUACGUG
rnacentral:rRNA from 1 species